UACGAAGGGUGCAAGCGUUACUCGGAAUUACUGGGCGUAAAGCGUGCGUAGGCGGUUCGUUAAGUCCGUUGUGAAAGCCCUGGCUCAACCUGGGAAUGGCAGUGGAUACUGGCGAGCUAGAGUGUGAUAGAGGAUGGUGGAAUUCCCGGUGUAGCGGUGAAAUGCGUAGAGAUCGGGAGGAACACCAGUGGCGAAGGCGGCCAUCUGGAUCAACACUGACGCUGAGGCACGGAAAAGCGGGACAAGGGAGGAU
rnacentral:rRNA from 1 species